rnacentral:rRNA from 1 species
CGUAGGGUGCGAGCGUUAAUCGGAGUUACUGGGCGUAAAGCGUGCGCAGGCGGUUUAGUAAGACAGGCGUGAAAUCCCCGGGCUCAACCUGGGAACUGCGCUUGUGACUGCUAAGCUAGAGUACGGCAGAGGGGGUGGAAUUCCACGUGUGGCAGUGAAAUGCGUAGAGAUGUGGAGGAACACCAAUGGCGAAGGCAGCCCCCUGGGUCGAUACUGACGCUCAUGCACGAAAGCGUGGGUAGCAAACAGGAUUAGAUACCCUGGUAGUCCACGCCCUAAACGAUGUCAACUAGGUGUUGGGAGGGUAAAACCUUUUAGUACCGGAGCUAACGCGUGAAGUUGACCGCCUGGGGAGUACGGCCGCAAGGUUA